rnacentral:rRNA from 1 species
UGGGGAAUAUUGCACAAUGGGCGAAAGCCUGAUGCAGCGACGCCGCGUGAGGGAUGACGGCCUUCGGGUUGUAAACCUCUUUCAGCAGGGAAGAAGCGAAAGUGACGGUACCUGCAGAAGAAGCGCCGGCUAACUACGUGCCAGCAGCCGCGGUAAUACGUAGGGCGCAAGCGUUGUCCGGAAUUAUUGGGCGUAAAGAGCUCGUAGGCGGUUAGUCGCGUCUGCUGCGAAAACUCGAGGCUCAACCUCGGGCUUGCAGUGGGUACGGGCUGACUAGAGUGCGGUAGGGGUGACUGGAAUUCCUGGUGUAGCGGUGGAAUGCGCAGAUAUCAGGAGGAACACCGAUGGCGAAGGCAGGUCACUGGGCCGCAACUGACGCUGAGGAGCGAAAGCAUGGGGAGCGAACAGGAUUAGAUACCCUGGUAGUCCAUGCCGUAAACGUUGGGCACUAGGUGUGGGGUCCAUUCCACGGAUUCCGUGCCGCAGCAAACGCAUUAAGUGCCCCGCCUGGGGAGUACGGCCGCAAGGCUAAAACUUAAGGAUUGACGGGGUCAUAGCUGUUUCCU